ACUGGUGCCCUGGGCUCUGUUGUUCUCAUCCUCGUGGGAGCUGUGGCCUUCUGUUUCUGUCUGAAAAGGCAGGUCACAGGGAGGAGCAGCACCCAGGAAGCAUGCAGAGCCAGUCACCAGGACUCCGGUUGUUGGGGAUGCUGAGGAGAUGGUGACUCCGUUUUGAAGACUGAGCAGGACAAGGCUCCUCUAGGACACUCCUUUGCAGCUCCAGGAUUGACUGCUCAACCCCCAAAAUGUAUCUGUUUGUCCUCCACCGUUGGGCUGGUGUUGUCUCCCUGCGGCCCUCAGAUAUCUUUGUUUAGUCUCCUCGCUCGGGGACAUGGACACACCCACCCACACAGGCACGAACCCAUGCGCACACACACACAAAUUGUGGCAAGCCGUGGCUAUUAGGCUAUUAAUUUGCCGCGCCUAAAAGAUGGCGCCUGCCGGAUGUACUGACUGCUGAUAAACAAGUCCAUGUUUGGUCAAGGCGAGCGUGGCACUGGCCCAUUGGCUGCCUGCUGCAGGUCUGAUGAGUGAGCGUGGUUGGCUGUGAUUGGCUGAUGUGGUUGCCUAUAUAAUUGGGAAGUGCCCGGGGUAUGGGGGGGAGAAGAAGCUUGCAAAGGCCUGAAUAAACUGCUUGAGGAAGAGCUGGUGGUUGCGUCUUCCUUGCUGGUCGAGGCGGUCGCGACAACAAAUGAAUACACCCCUACCCCGGGUGGAAUCUCCUAGAACAUGCUUCUGCAGAAUGGAACCCUCCGUCUUGUGUCCCCUCAGAGGGCUACUCUUUGUUGUCAACUUGACCGGAUUUAGAAUCCCCUAGGAGACGGCCCUUUGGUGUCUGUGGGGUGCUUCCAGCCAGGUUUACCAAGAAGGGAAGGUUAAGACAGGUGGCUCCACUCCUCGGCUGGAGUCUCAGGAGAAAGCAGCCCUCGGGUCGCCGCCCUUUCCUGACCACGACACCAGCGGGCCAUCCCUCGCCACCACGCCCACAGAGACAGGUCCCCCCUUUCUGUCUCGAAGGUCUGACCGCCUGUCUCUUCCCUAAGUGGGUUCUCAUGAGGUGUUUUGUCACAGAGUCCAGGGACACAGCGUUAGAGACGAGGCACCAUCCUCCCUCCACAGAACUGAGUGCGACCCCUAAUCUUUGAGGGACACCAACCAAGCUUUGGUGAAGAAAAGAACUGUGGGCUCCUA